rnacentral:sRNA from 1 species
ACUUGCUCAGAAAAGCCAUUUCCGACUCCAGACCGGCCCCCGCUCCCCGCAAGCCCCCUCUCCCCCCACGGAUGUACCCCCAGGGAAGGCACCCGGUGAGUGGGGACUGCGGGGAGGGGGCCCCCAGUGUCCGGGAACUCAGACCCUGACGUUUCCCCCAAACCCCCCCAGACCCCGCUCCAGUCCGGCCAACCCUUCAAGUUCUCGAUCUUGGAGAUCUGCGACCGCAUCAAAGAAGAAUUCCAGUUUCUCCAGGCUCAGUACCACAGCCUCAAGCUCGAAUGUGAGAAGCUGGCCAGCGAGAAGACGGAAAUGCAGCGACAUUAUGUCAUGUAUUAUGAGAUGUCUUACGGGCUCAACAUUGAAAUGCAUAAGCAGGCGGAGAUUGUGAAGCGUCUGAGCGGUAUCUGCGCUCAGAUUAUCCCUUUCCUGACCCAGGAGCAUCAGCAGCAGGUGCUCCAGGCCGUAGAGCGUGCCAAGCAGGUCACCGUGGGGGAGCUGAACAGCCUCAUCGGGGUGAGUCUAGCCCCUGCUCCGCCAUGGGGAGACGCCCACUCCCAGGUCCCUGGCACCCACCCAGGAGGUGUUAAAGCUGGGGGUGGUGUGUGGGCCUCGGCUCCGGCGGUCCUGGGAACCCUAGGGGCACAUGCUGUGCUUAG